GCAGGUGGCGCAAAGCAAGUCAGCUCCAAGCUGCUUCCGGUCCAUUUUCCAGCUGUAGGAGAAGGGUCUUCCCUGCCCAAGGAGAGUGGUCCCCUCUUCUGAAGAGUGAGGAGCUCUCUGCGGUGGAGGAGGCAUAUGAAGACUUCCCAGAACACUGCACCCACCUGACUGAGAGGUACUUUUUAAGGUCAUUCAAACUGUCGUCUACACAUGAAUAACAAUGAAAUUCUCAUAAAGAAGCAGAAAUACCCAGGAGGCAUGAAGAGUCAUCAUGCUUCAAAAGUGCAUGUAUUAGGACUUCAUGACCUCAGGAAAAGUAGACCCCAUAACUCUUAAAAGCUCAACCUUGGAAAAGAGAAACAUGCUGUUUGAUGACACAGCACUGAAACUUGUUGAAAUAUCCUUGGAGCUUGAGAUGUUGAGAGCUAUCAAAAUGUUCUUAACAAUUAAAUUGAAAAAUGUUUCUUCAAAAUGUCUUAGCCAACCAAAUACAAACAUUUUUGUCAUUGUGAAAAAAAAAAAAAACCUCGCCAAUUGCCUUUGCUAGUCUCAGCACAGCCCAAGAGGAGCAUCCUUCAUGAGCCAACUGAAAAACAGUGUGCAGUCUAUGCUUCUGACCAGAUGGGCUUCUCUUGUCACCAAAACACUAUGUAUUAGGACUUCAUGUAUUAUGUAUUAUGUCAACACUUUAUUCAUUAUGCUGAUCAUACUCUGUAUUUCACUUGCUCUGGUUAUUUGUAAAGCUUUUCCCAUUUCAUCAUUAGAUUAUCCUUAAAUUUUAGCAACUGCA